rnacentral:lncRNA from 1 species
CCCCUUGCGAAACUACCGGAAAGGAUAUAUUGCAUCCAUCGGUGUUGAUAUAUUUUCUAGCAUAUUUUCUUGUUUUCAGCCAACAUACACACCCCCGUUAAAUCAAAUAGAUCACUGUAGAUGGCUGCCACAAGCAUAUUACAAGAACUGUGAAUUGGAAGCUGUUAGCUACCUGUGGCACGAAGUCAUGCAAGGGUACAUGUAGUCUUUGUGUGCACAUUGACUUCAUGUUUUACUAAUUUGACUGGCUCCUAUUGCACUCCGGCUGAAUAGCAAUAACACACAGGCCACUUUACGUUCGAACUACUCGAAAGUCUGUGAAAGCUGAAGGUACAUUCAUAAAAGUUCAUAAGUCCAUGGCAUUAGUGAAAAAAAUCUAAACCUUUUCUGGUACAGCCGUGCAUUGUCAGAAGUGUCUCAAUGCAUUGCAGUGAUUGAACAGGCACAUAUUGGCUGUACCACUUGGAUUUCAGCUUGCAUGCGUUGGCUGGACAAAAAAUUCUACCAUAUUUUACCUCCAAACUUUUGCUCACAAGUGGAAAGCGCUGUUUCUGUUGUAAAUAGAUGUGGCUUGCACACAAGGUAUGUGCAUGCUAAGUGUCUUGGUAAAGAAAAGUAAAGGUAUGCUGCAUGAACAGAAGGUGCUGCAGCCACAUAACCUGACCUUUGUUCUUCAUUAUGCUCACAGAUUCAAGGGAUGGAACUAAGUGCGUGUCUUUUAAAUGCUUGAUUUCAGCCAGUUAAAUUUGGCAACACGGGGAUUCAAACCACUGGUGUCAAUCUGCUGUUGGGCUGGACUCUCAAUUUACUUUCCAGAGUUCCUUGGAAAAUCCUCCCAUGCACCUGCCAUGUACAUUGCCCCUCCUCCUCGAUGUGGCGUGCAAGAUGGCAGCAGCUGUGGAAACAGCUGAAGAGGCGAAGAAAGGUCCACUUUAUAAUAGGUUGUAUGUAAAUAAAACUGAUCGAACUCAA